CACAGAAGGUACACAAUAAAUGGCAGUGAAUUAAAUGGACAAAACAGAUUGCUGUGGAACGGUUUGUGAUUGCUAUUUUGAAAACCUGGUCAUAUAUUUUUAGCCUGCAAAACCUCUGCUUUGACACAUUUCCUCAUGGGGACACACUGCAGCUGCUGAAAGAAGGGAAGUCCCAGCACUGCUUUCUCACCAUGGAACAGCAGGAGAGGAAAGCCUUUUGAAUUCUAGCCAUGAUAACCCUAAAGUUUACAUGGCCACAGACUCCAGCUUUGCCAGGAAAGUUUAGAAUAAAUCCCCUUCCACCCCUGCCCCUGGUGCCAAACUUGGAAGAAUGACUUCAUGGAUGGAAAAGGAUUGACAAACAAGCUCCAGUGACACUGUUUUAUAUUGCCUAUCUACUUAGAAACCAUACCUGCCAAAGAACACAACUGCAUUCACUGAGUGUCACGAACUUAACUCAUAUCACAGGAAGAGAGACUAAAGUCUGUCAACACAUCUGGACAGGGUUUUCUCACAAUUAUUUUCUCUGCUGGCCCAAUAGACUUUGUACCAGGCUGUUGUGUGUUCUCCAAACCCUUUGAAUCCCCCUAAAAAUAAUUUACUAGCCCUCAAAUUGUCACAUUUUAUGCAUCUCUCUUUCCCCAAUGAAUAAUGGUAUAUAACAUCUGUACACCAUUUGGUUAUUGGGAAAUCAUUCUCCUCUAAUUCCUCGAUGCUAUGCUAAAAUACAAUUUCGUAUGUCUUUUCUGCCACU
rnacentral:lncRNA from 10 species